UAAUUUUAUCUCUUAUUUGUUUCUCACAGUUUUGAGCUUCACCGACCAUAUCCUCAAAGAAGUGCCCCAAAGCCCUCUGAACUUUGUAAAGGCUGCAAGGAAGUCAUUGAUGAAGUGAAAAAGCUCUACAAUCAAACGUGGAAAAAGCAUGAGGAGAAUUACCAAAGAUUCAAGUAAGACCUAACAUCCUGAUAUUAUUGAUUGAUCGUUGAGUUUUAUUUUUAUGUGAAUUUCUGGUUAAUAAUAACUAAAUAAAUAAAAAUUGUCUGAAGCUAGUAUAUGAGUACGAGCAUGGAAGAUGGCAGACUACAGGAAACAGCUGCUAUUUAUCCUCGAAUGCAGAUGAGGCAGGAUUACUCCUAAAGGUCUUUAAACAAGCUCUUCAGUCAAGGCUAAGAGCCAUUUGCUAAACGAACCGGCUAAACAAAUUUUCCCGUCAAUACUAGUUUUAGUUAAGAAGACACGUGAAAAGGGGACCUUUGACCAGCCCACAAUUAAAAGUCUAAGACCAGCCAGAAAGAAAUAAAGGUUUGGUUCACUUGUUUAGCAGACUCACACUCAGGAUGUGUACAAGUGGGUG